rnacentral:lncRNA from 1 species
GGGUGGGGAUGCUCAGCAGCAGCUCCAAGGAACAGAAUUGGGAUGGAUCCCACAGGGACAGAGCCCCCAGGUGCCCCAGUGCCACCAGUGCCACCCUCUGGGUCAUUGGGACCAGUCAGACCACCCUGCAUGGCGUUGGACCCAUCUGAUGGGGAUGGGAUGGGUGGUGCUGCCCCUUGCAGCCUUCACAGGGUCACUGAGGCUGGAAAAAACCUCUGGAAUCACUGAUCCCAUUGAGCAAAAGUAGCAAUCAUUAAAUCAUUUUAAAGGAAUCAAUCAUUGAGUCCAUCCUGUGCCCCAUCCCAGAGCACCGAGUGCCACAUCCAGACCUUCCCUGGGCACCUGCAGGGAUGGGCAGUGCCUGGCCACCAUUCCAUGGGGAAAUUCCUGCUGGUGUCCAAGCUGGCCCUCCCCUCUCUCCUGACCCUGUUCCCUGGCCUGUCUCCCCUGUCAGGAGAUGUGGAGAGCAUUAAAAUCUUCCCUCAUCCUCCUUUUCCCAGCCUUGGCAUCUCCCCUGUGUUUCUCCAAGCACGUUCCUGGAGGUAAUCCUGGCCCAGCUGAAGCCAUUGAGGAUUUUGCCACUGACUUCAUCCCUGCUAAGAGCAUUUGUAGUGUUCAUCGCAGGAGAGCUGUUCCUGUUCAUCACAGAACUGUUCCUGUUCAUCACAGGAGAACUGUUCCUGUUCUUCCAGGAGAAGCUGUGGCUGCCCCUGGAUCCCUGGAAAUGUUCAAUGCCAGGGCUUGGAGCACCCUGGGACAGUGGAAGGUGUCCCUGCCCAUGGCUUUGAUAGGUUUUUGAUGUCCCUUCCAACCCAAACCACCCCAGGAUUCUGUGAUUCCCUUUGUUUCCCCCUUUUCCCAAUUAACCUCGUUUUAAGCUGUGAUCACCAGCAGUGCCUUUUACCCUCUGCUGCCCUUCUGCAGGUUUUCCAUCCCCAGCUGCCUCAUCCAGCCCUGCUCUUAGCACCAGGCAUUAAUAAAGCCAAAGCAGAGGUCA